ensembl:lncRNA
UUUUUAAUUUUUGAGUUUAUGAUAGUUUACCACCUUGUGAAAUUUCAGUUGUACAUUAUUUGUCAGUCAUGUUGUAGGUGCACCACUUCACCCUUUGUGCCCACCCCCCAACCCCCCUUUCCCCUGGUAGCCACUAAUUUGUUCUCUUUGUCUACGUGUUUAACUUCCACAUGUGAGUGGAGUCAACAGAGAUUGUCUUUCUCUAUCUGGCUUAUUUCACUUAACAUAAUUCCCUCAAGGUCCAUCCAUGUUGUUGUGAAUGGGAUGAUUUUAUUCUUUUUUAUGGCUGAGUAGUAUUCCAUUGUAUAUAUAUACAAUAUCUUCUUUAUCCAGUCAUCAGUUGAUGGGCACUUAGGUUGCUUCCACAUCUUGGCUAUUGUAAACAAUGCUGAAAUGAACAUAGGGGUGCAUGGGACUUUUGGAAUUGCUGAUUUCAAGUUCUUUGGAUAGAUACCCAAUAGUGGGAUGGCUGGGUCAUAUGGUCUUUCUAUUUUUAAUUUUUUGAGAAAUCUCCAUACUGUUUUCCAUAGUGGCUGCACCAGUUUUCAUUCCCACCAGCCGUGUAUGAGGGUUCCUUUUUCUCCACACCCUCUCCAACACUUGUUACUUUUUGUUUUGGUUAUUUUUGCCGUUCUAAUGGAUGUAAGGUGAUAUCUUAGUGUAGUUUUGAUUUGCAUUUCCCUGAUGAUCAGUGAUAAUGAGCAUCUUUUGAUGUGCCUAUUGGCCAUCUGUAUAUCUUCUUUGUAGAAAUAUCUGUUUAUGUCUCCUGCCCAUUUUUUGAUCAGGUUGUUUCAUUUUUUGUUGUUGAGUUGUGUGAGUUCUUUAUAUAUUAUGGAGAUUAAGCCUUUGUCAGAUAUAUGACUUGCAAAUAUUUUUUCCCCAAUUGGUGGGUUGUUUUUUGUUUCAAUCUUGUUUUCCCUUGCCUUGAAGAAGCUCUUUAGUCUGAUGAAGUCCCAUUUGUUUAUUCUUUCUAUUGUUUCCCUUGUCUGAGAAGACAUGGGUGUCCAAAAAGAUCCUUUUAAUACUGAUGUUAAAGAGUGUACUGCCUAUAUUUUCUUCUAGAAGCCUCAUGGUUUCAGGUCUUACCUUUAGGUCUUUGAUCCAUUUUGAGGUUUUUUUUGUGAAUGGUGAAAAAGAAUGAUCAAUUUUCAUUCUUUUACAUGUGGCUUUCCAGUUUUCCCAGCACCGUUUGUUGAAGAGACUUUCUUUGCUCUGUUGUAUGCCCUCAACUCCUUUGUCGAAGAUUAGCUGUGCAUAGAUGUAUGGUUUUAUUUCUGGGCUUUCAAUUCUGUUCCAUUGAUCUGUGCACCUGGUUUUGUACCAGUACCAUGCUGUGUUGAUUAUUGUAGCUUUGUAGUAUGUUUUGAAGUCAGGGAUUGUAAUGCCUCCAGCUGUGUUCUUUUUUUCUCAGGAUUGCUUUAGCAAUUUGGGGUCUUUUGUUGCCCCAUAUGAAUUUUAGGAUUCUUUGUUCUAUUUCUGUAAAGAAUGUCAUUGGGAUUCUGAUUGGGAUGGUGUUGAAUCUGUAGAUUGCUUUAGGUGGUAUGAACAUUUUAACUAUGUUCAUUCUUCCUAUCCAUGUGCAUGGAAUGUCUUUCCAUCUCUUUAUGUCAUCAUCAGUUUCUUUCAAGAAAGUCUUGUAGUUUUCCUCGUAUAGGUCUUUCACUUCCUUAGUUAAAUUCACCCCAAGGUAUUUUAUUCUUUUUGUUGCGAUUGUGAAUGGUAUUGUGUUCUUGAGAUCUUCUUCUGUUAGUUCGUUAUUAGAGUAUAGAAAUGCUACUGAUUUAUGUAAGUUGAUUUUAUACCCUGAAACUUUGCUGUAGUUGUUGAUUACUUCUAAAAGUUUUCCAAUGGAUUCUUUGGGGGUUUUCUAUGUAUCAGGUCAUGUCAUCUGCAAACAGUGAGAGUUUCACUUCUUCCCUCCCUAUUUGGAUUCCUUUUAUUCCUUAUUCUUGCCUAAUUGCUCUGGCCAAAACCUCCAGUACUAUGUUGAAUAAGAGUGGUGAUAGAGGGCAUCCUUGUCUUGUUCCUGUUCUCAGGAGGAUGGCGCUCAGUUUUUGACCAUUGAGUAUGAUGUUGGCUGUGGGUUUGUCAUAUAUGGCCUUCAUUAUGUUGAGGUAAUUUCCUUCUAUCCCCAUUUUGUUCAGAGUUUUUAUCAUAAAUGGCUGUUGGAUCUUGUCAAAUGCUUUCUCUGCAUCUAUGGAGAUGAAUAUGUGGGUUUUAUUCCUCAAUUUGUUGAUGUGGUGUAUCAUGUUGAUUGAUUUGCGGAUGUUGAACCACCCCUGUGUCCCUGGUAUGAAUCCCACUUGAUCAUGAUGUAUGAUCCUUUUGAUGUAUUGCUGAAUUUGGGUUGCCAAAAUUUUGUUUAGAAUUUUUGCAUCUAUGUUCAUCAGUGAUAUUGGCCUGUAGUUCUCAUUUUUAGUGCUGUCCUUGUCAGGCUUUGGUAUCAGAAUGAUGUUGGACUCAUAGAAUGUGUUAGGAAGUGUUCCAUCCUCCCGAGUUUUUUGGAAUAUCUUGAAAAGGAUAGGUAUUAAAUCCUCUCUGAAAGUUUGGUAGAAUUCCCCAGGAAAGCCAUCUGGUCCUGGGGUUUUAUUCUUUGGGAUGUUUUUGAUUGCUGUUUCAAUCUCUUUCCUUGUGAUUGGUCUGUUCAAAUUGUCUGCGUCUUCUUG